rnacentral:rRNA from 1 species
GGAAACGGGUGGUAAUGCUGGAUGCUCCAACUUGACGCAUGUCUUGUUGGGAAAGUGUUUAGUGGCAUGGGAUGGGGUCGCGUCCUAUCAGCUUGUAGGCGGGGUAAUGGCCCACCUAGGCUUCGACGGUAGCCGGCCUGAGAGGGCGGACGGCCACAUUGGGACUGAGAUACGGCCCAGACUCCUACGGGAGGCAGCAGCA